GAUGAACGCUGGCGGUAUGCUUAACACAUGCAAGUCGAACGGACUCUUCGGAGUUAGUGGCGGACGGGUGAGUAACGCGUGAGAAUCUGGCUUUGGGUUCGGGACAACCACUGGAAACGGUGGCUAAUACCGGAUGUGCCGAGAGGUAAAAGAGAAAUUGCCUGAAGAUGAGCUCGCGUCUGAUUAGCUAGUUGGUGAGGUAAAGGCUCACCAAGGCAGCGAUCAGUAGCUGGUCUGAGAGGAUGACCAGCCACACUGGGACUGAGACACGGCCCAGACUCCUACGGGAGGCAGCAGUGGGGAAUUUUCCGCAAUGGGCGAAAGCCUGACGGAGCAAUACCGCGUGAGGGAAGAAGGCUCUUGGGUUGUAAACCUCUUUUCUUAGGGAAGAACAAAAUGACGGUACCUAAGGAAUCAGCACCGGCUAACUCCGUG
rnacentral:rRNA from 1 species